UACAGGGGGUGCAAACGUUGCUCGGCAUUAUUGGGCGUAAAGCGCACGUAGGCGGCUUUGUAAGUUAGAGGUGAAAGCCCAGGGCUCAACCCUGGAAUUGCCUUUAAGACUGCAUCGCUAGAAUUGUGGAGAGGUAAGUGGAAUUCCGAGUGUAGAGGUGAAAUUCGUAGAUAUUCGGAAGAACACCAGUGGCGAAGGCGACUUACUGGACACAUAUUGACGCUGAGGUGCGAAAGCGUGGGGAGCAAACAGG
rnacentral:rRNA from 1 species